AUUGAACGCUGGCGGCAUGCUUUACACAUGCAAGUCGAACGGCAGCGCGGGCUUCGGCCUGGCGGCGAGUGGCGAACGGGUGAGUAAUGCAUCGGAACGUGCCCAGUAGUGGGGGAUAGCCCGGCGAAAGCCGGAUUAAUACCGCAUACGACCUGAGGGUGAAAGCGGGGGACCGAAAGGCCUCGCGCUAUUGGAGCGGCCGAUGUCGGAUUAGCUAGUUGGUGGGGUAAAGGCUUACCAAGGCGACGAUCCGUAGCUGGUCUGAGAGGACGACCAGCCACACUGGGACUGAGACACGGCCCAGACUCCUACGGGAGGCAGCAGUGGGGAAUUUUGGACAAUGGGGGCAACCCUGAUCCAGCCAUGCCGCGUGCGGGAAGAAGGCCUUCGGGUUGUAAACCGCUUUUGUUCGGGAAGAAAUCCUCUGGGCUAAUACCCCGGGGGGAUGACGGUACCGGAAGAAAAAGCACCGGCUAACUACGUG
rnacentral:rRNA from 1 species